rnacentral:rRNA from 1 species
ACGAAGAGUUUGAUCCUGGCUCAGGAUGAACGCUAGCGACAGGCUUAACACAUGCAAGUCGAGGGGCAGCACAGGUAGCAAUACCGGGUGGCGACCGGCGCACGGGUGAGUAACGCGUAUGCAACUUACCUAUCAGAGGGGGAUAACCCGGCGAAAGUCGGACUAAUACCGCAUGAAGCAGGGGUCCCGCAUGGGGAUAUUUGCUAAAGAUUCAUCGCUGAUAGAUAGGCAUGCGUUCCAUUAGGCAGUUGGCGGGGUAACGGCCCACCAAACCGACGAUGGAUAGGGGUUCUGAGAGGAAGGUCCCCCACAUUGGUACUGAGACACGGACCAAACUCCUACGGGAGGCAGCAGUGAGGAAUAUUGGUCAAUGGCCGAGAGGCUGAACCAGCCAAGUCGCGUGAGGGAUGAAGGUUCUAUGGAUCGUAAACCUCUUUUAUAAGGGAAUAAAGUGCGGGACGUGUCCCGUUUUGUAUGUACCUUAUGAAUAAGGAUCGGCUAACUCCGUGCCAGCAGCCGCGGUAAUACGGAGGAUCCGAGCGUUAUCCGGAUUUAUUGGGUUUAAAGGGUGCGUAGGCGGCCUUUUAAGUCAGCGGUGAAAGUCUGUGGCUCAACCAUAGAAUUGCCGUUGAAACUGGGGGGCUUGAGUAUGUUUGAGGCAGGCGGAAUGCGUGGUGUAGCGGUGAAAUGCAUAGAUAUCACGCAGAACCCCGAUUGCGAAGGCAGCCUGCCAAGCCAUUACUGACGCUGAUGCACGAAAGCGUGGGGAUCAAACAGGAUUAGAUACCCUGGUAGUCCACGCAGUAAACGAUGAUCACUAGCUGUUUGCGAUACACUGUAAGCGGCACAGCGAAAGCGUUAAGUGAUCCACCUGGGGAGUACGCCGGCAACGGUGAAACUCAAAGGAAUUGACGGGGGCCCGCACAAGCGGAGGAACAUGUGGUUUAAUUCGAUGAUACGCGAGGAACCUUACCCGGGUUUGAACGCAUUCGGACCGAGGUGGAAACACCUUUUCUAGCAAUAGCCGUUUGCGAGGUGCUGCAUGGUUGUCGUCAGCUCGUGCCGUGAGGUGUCGGCUUAAGUGCCAUAACGAGCGCAACCCUUGCCACUAGUUACUAACAGGUAAAGCUGAGGACUCUGGUGGGACUGCCAGCGUAAGCUGCGAGGAAGGCGGGGAUGACGUCAAAUCAGCACGGCCCUUACAUCCGGGGCGACACACGUGUUACAAUGGCGUGGACAAAGGGAAGCCACCUGGCGACAGGGAGCGAAUCCCCAAACCACGUCUCAGUUCGGAUCGGAGUCUGCAACCCGACUCCGUGAAGCUGGAUUCGCUAGUAAUCGCGCAUCAGCCAUGGCGCGGUGAAUACGUUCCCGGGCCUUGUACACACCGCCCGUCAAGCCAUGGGAGCCGGGGGUACCUGAAGUCCGUAACCGCGAGGAUCGGCCUAGGGUAAAACUGGUGACUGGGGCUAAGUCGUAACAAGGUAGCCGUACCGGAAGGUGCGGCUGGAACACCUCCUU